UCUAAUGUGGCAGAGUAGUGCAAUGGACUUAAACCCCAGAUAUAAAGAUUAUACUUUCUUUAGAA
rnacentral:tRNA from 1 species